rnacentral:rRNA from 1 species
GAUGAACGCUGGCGGCGUGCCUAAUACAUGCAAGUCGAGCGAACAGAUGAGGAGCUUGCUCCUCUGACGUUAGCGGCGGACGGGUGAGUAACACGUGGAUAACCUACCUAUAAGACUGGGAUAACUUCGGGAAACCGGAGCUAAUACCGGAUAAUAUAUUGAACCGCAUGGUUCAAUAGUGAAAGACGGUUUUGCUGUCACUUAUAGAUGGAUCCGCGCCGCAUUAGCUAGUUGGUAAGGUAACGGCUUACCAAGGCGACGAUGCGUAGCCGACCUGAGAGGGUGAUCGGCCACACUGGAACUGAGACACGGUCCAGACUCCUACGGGAGGCAGCAGUAGGGAAUCUUCCGCAAUGGGCGAAAGCCUGACGUAGCAACGCCGCGUGAGUGAUGAAGGUCUUCGGAUCGUAAAACUCUGUUAUUAGGGAAGAACAAAUGUGUAAGUAACUAUGCACGUCUUGACGGUACCUAAUCAGAAAGCCACGGCUAACUACGUG